rnacentral:rRNA from 1 species
GACGAACGCUGGCGGCGUGCUUAACACAUGCAAGUCGAGCGAUGAAGCUCCUUCGGGAGUGGAUUAGCGGCGGACGGGUGAGUAACACGUGGGUAACCUGCCUCAUAGAGGGGAAUAGCCUUUCGAAAGGAAGAUUAAUACCGCAUAAGAUUGUAGUUUCGCAUGAAGCAGCAAUUAAAGGAGUAAUCCGCUAUGAGAUGGACCCGCGUCGCAUUAGCUAGUUGGUGAGGUAACGGCUCACCAAGGCGACGAUGCGUAGCCGACCUGAGAGGGUGAUCGGCCACAUUGGGACUGGGACACGGCCCAGACUCCUACGGGAGGCAGCAGUGGGGAAUAUUGCACAAUGGGGGAAACCCUGAUGCAGCAACGCCGCGUGAGUGAUGACGGUCUUCGGAUUGUAAAACUCUGUCUUCAGGGACGAUAAUGACGGUACCUGAGGAGGAAGCCACGGCUAACUACGUGCCAGCAGCAGCCGCUGUAA